UGAGCCUAGUGGCAAACGGGUGAGUAACGCGUAGGCAACCUGCCUCUAAGAUGGGGACAACAGCCCGAAAGGGCUGCUAAUACCGAAUGUUGUGAGUUUUCCGCAUGGAGAGCUCAUUAAAGAUGGCCUCUACUUGUAAGCUAUCACUUAGAGAUGGGCCUGCGUCUGAUUAGCUAGUUGGUGGGGUAACGGCUCACCAAGGCGACGAUCAGUAGCCGGUCUGAGAGGAUGAACGGCCACAUUGGGACUGAGACACGGCCCAGACUCCUACGGGAGGCAGCAGUGGGGAAUCUUCCGCAAUGGGCGAAAGCCUGACGGAGCAACGCCGCGUGAGUGAAAGAAGGUCUUCGGAUCGUAAAGCUCUGUCGAAGGGGACGAACGUAGUGCUUAUCAACAACGAGCGCUAAUGACGGUACCUCUCAAGAAAGCCACGGCUAACUACGUGCCAGCCGCGGC
rnacentral:rRNA from 1 species